UACGGAGGGUGCAAGCGUUAAUCGGAAUUACUGGGCGUAAAGCGCACGCAGGUGGCUGAGCAAGUCGAUUGUGAAAGCCCUGGGCUUAACCCUGAAAUGGCAUUGAAUACUGUCGAGCUGGAGGUUUGGAGGGGGGACUGGAAUUCUUGGUGUAGCAGUGAAAUGCGUAGAUAUCAAGAGGAACACCAGUGGCGAAGGCGAGUCCCUGGACAACACCUGACACUGAGGCACGAAAGCUAGGGGAGCAAACAGG
rnacentral:rRNA from 1 species